AUUGAACGCUGGCGGCAGGCCUAACACAUGCAAGUCGAGCGAGCGGCGGACGGGUGAGUAAUGUAUGGGAAUCUAGCUUAUGGAGGGGGAUAACUACGGGAAACUGUAGCUAAUACCGCGUACCAUAGGAUGAGCCCAAGUGGGAUUAGGUAGUUGGUGAGGUAAAGGCUCACCAAGCCGACGAUCCCUAGCUGGUCUGAGAGGAUGACCCGCCACACUGGGACUGAGACACGGCCCAGACUCCUACGGGAGGCAGAAGUGGGGAAUAUUGCGCAAUGGGGGCAACCUGACGCAGCCAUGCCGCGUGUAUGAAGAAGGCCUUCGGGUUGUAAAGUUCUUUCGGUAGGGAGGCGUUAACUACAGAAGAAGCACCGGCUAACUCCGUGCCAGCAGCCGCGGUAAUAC
rnacentral:rRNA from 1 species